AACGAACGCCGGCGGCAGGCCUAAUACAUGCAAGUCGAACGGGCGUAGCAAUACGUCAGUGGCGGACGGGUGAGUAACACGUGGGAACAUGCCUUUCGGUUCGGAAUAACGCAGGGAAACUUGCGCUAAUACCGGAUGACCCGGCGACGGAAAAGAUUUAUCGCCGAAAGAUUGGCCCGCGUAGGAUUAGCUAGUUGGUGAGGUAACGGCCCACCAAGGCGACGAUCCUUAGCUGGUUUGAGAGAACGAUCAGCCACACUGGGACUGAGACACGGCCCAGACUCCUACGGGAGGCAGCAGUAGGGAAUCUUGGACAAUGGGGGAAACCCUGAUCCAGCCAUGCCGCGUGG
rnacentral:rRNA from 1 species